rnacentral:tRNA from 1 species
UAUGGUUCAGUGGUAGAGCCCUUGCAUAGCAUGCAAGCAUUCUGGGUUUGACCCCCAGUA